rnacentral:rRNA from 1 species
GACGAACCAAGCAAACGUUGUUCGGAAUCACUGGGCUUAAAGGGCGCGUAGGCGGUCUGUCAAGUCGCGGGUGAAAUCUUUCGGCUCAACCGGAAAAUUGCCCGCGAUACUGAUGGGCUCGAGGAAGGUAGGGGCAGCGGGAACUUCCAGUGGAGCGGUGAAAUGCGUUGAUAUUGGAAGGAACGCCGGUGGCGAAAGCGCGCUGCUGGACCUUUUCUGACGCUGAGUGCGCGAAAGCCAGGGGAGCAAACGGG